rnacentral:pre_miRNA from 1 species
CCGUAGGUUCCGUACUUCUGUACUUCCCAUAGUGCACUUUAUCAUAUGGAAUGUAAAGAAGUAUGGAGCUUACUU